AUAACAGCGAGUUUGAUGGUGGCUCUGAUUGAAUGCUAUUCAAAUGCUUGACACAUGCUAAUCGAACGCCUAGUUUAUUUAUAAUAAAAACUAGAAAGUGGUGUACAGGUGAGGAAAGGGUAUGUUUACUGCCUUAGAGCAAGGAGAAAUACCUUAUAAAACAAAGAAAUUAUUAAAUAAAUAAUUUUGCUUUAAGAUGUUAUCUUAAUACCUCGGGUAAGUAGAGUAGUAGUUAAAGUAAUGGUUUAACUAGCUUUAUCUCGUAGUCGAGUCUGAAAGGUCCUUCGACCACAUUGGAACUGAGACAAGUUCAAUGCGAUUUUUUUUUGCACUGCAGUGGGGAAUAUUGGUCAAUAGCCUAACGGCUGAACCAGCGAUUUGAAGGAAUGAAGAUCUACUUUGAAAUAUAAGAAGACUAAAAUUCUGGUUAGUAAAAUGAUAAUGACAAUUUUCUAUCUAAAUGUCUUGACUAAUUCACGUGCCAGCAGUCGCGGUAAUACGUGAGAGACUAGCGUUAUUCAUAUUUAAUUGGUUUAAAGGGUUACUAGACGGUAAUUUUUGCCUUUGAAUGGGGACAGAGUUACUAGAGUUUUAUGUGAAAAGUAUAUUUAGAACUCAUGGUGUAGAACUGAUAAUUUAAAAUACUAUGGGGAAUGAUAAAGGCGAAGGCAAACUUUUAUGUAAAAACUGACGUUGAGGAACGAAGGCAAGGACAGUGAAUAGGAUUAGAACCCUAGUAACCCUAGCAGAAAAUGAUGAGUGCCAUAGGUUGUAUUAAAUUUAAAUAGCCUAUAAAUGAAAAUGUAAGCAUUCCACCUCAAGAGUAAUGUGGCAACACAGAAACUGUAACCAUUAGACCAACUCCGAA
rnacentral:ncRNA from 1 species